GUCUUUUCUAUCACUAGGGCUUGUGAUCUGAGCACUGGCAAGAUUUCAGAGAUCUCUGUGUGUUCCCAGACUGUUUUGGUUGCUAGGGAGUUCUUUUUCCUUUCCUGUUUCUGACUUUAUUAAUCUCAGGAGGUCUCUCUUCUUUUUGCUCUGCUGCUUCAAGCCUUUGGCAUCCAGUGCCUUGUACUUAAUGAAAGUUUGCAACACUCUGAGGAACUGUUCUCAGUUCUUCUGCCUUAUUUCUGGGCUCCGUUGCAACUGUUUUGACCUAGUGAAGGCCUAGACUUUCUCAGACAGAUUUCUUUUAACUCUUCUGCCCUGACUCCAGUCUUCACUGAGAUGCUGCCUUGCACUUAGGGAAGGUUCACAUGCCUCAGGGAUCUCUCUCUCUCAGAUUUCUUGACUUUCCCUCAGUCUUCAGUAUAGUCCUCCUCUGUGCCUGGUGAAGACCUGUGGUAAAGUGCUGGCAGAGAGGAAGCUAAAUCACGUAAAAGUUAAGAAACAGCUCAGCGUUUCACAGCUAAACUGCUUCUUGCUGCCGCCAUAUGAAGAAGGACGUGUUUGCUUCCCCUUCCUCCAUGAUUGUAAGUUUCCUGAGACCUCGCCAGCCAUGCUGAACUGAAUACAACAUGUUUAAGACCACAGAACAUCUGCAUAGGCUGUAAAUUUCGUUAAAUGAUGGAUGCAAAGAUGGAAGACAGAUGGAUAGAGAAAAAGACAGAAUCAGAUACUGGAUGAGUUAGUACUGCUGCUUGUGCUUCAGAGCUGUCUUAUUACCACAAGGCCGGCAAGCAUCAAUGUCCCCACAUCCCCCUCUGCCUCCCCCUGAAAUGUACCGAUUUAUAUGAAAAUUAAGAUUACAAAUUAAAGCCUGGCUAUCCUGGAGUUUUCCAGUUCAUCAGCCAUCCAAUAAAAAUGAUGUCAAGCCUGUAUGCAUAAUUCCCGGAAGAUUACUUUCGUCCUUACAGCUAAGCCCUGUCCCUGAUAUGAAAGAUCUCUAUCCACUUUUAUUGAAAUAAAGAACUAACAUCAUAAUCCCAAUAUUGAGGUAUAAUCUUCAUUAUCUCCUGACCCUCUUGAGGUUCCCCCAAUCUAUAUUACUUCAGAUUUGGUUUAUGUGUAAUCCUUAUGUAUUUACUUUUAUUGAGAUAGGAUUAAAAACUAAAAAAAAAGCUUCAAAAAAUCCUUAUGAUCUCAUGAUUGAGUUUCAUUUCACCAACAAUCAACUAAUGUGUUAGACUGAGUUUUUUUUUAAGUGCUUCUUAUAGUUAUAUAGUCCAAGCUUGACAAGGCAUUAAUUGGUCCCAUGUGUUUCCUGUUUCAUUACAUGAAUUAUUUCCAAUUCAACUUGGUUUGUGAAAUAAUGGCAUCAUCUUCUUUUCCUAUUUAUUAGAAAAGGUGUGGGAGGGGGAUGUAUGAAAAGAUAAGCCUACACAUAAAAUAAUCCAAAGUAACUUUAAUCUCUUUUCUUAGGAAGUUUUGAUUCAUACCUAUAGUUAAUUACUGGUAAACCACAAUCUACCAACCUUUUCUUUCCCCCAGAGCCUUAAUAGCCUCUGGCUAUGCCUCGGGCUGUUAACUACCAAACUAGUCAUUAAUGCUGGUCAAGAUGAUUUCUUGGAGAUUAUUGCUCAUUUAUUUUUUUAACAGACAAAACAGAAUUUGCUUUGCACAUGGACUAAAAUAAUACUUCAGCCAUUUUUUUCCUUUCAAAAACAUAAACACCGAUGAAAAUCACAUUGUACUGUGGUAUUUUCAAAGCAUUUCAUAUGUUAUUUUAGCUGUAUUUUCCAACUGAAAACUGGAUUUGCAAUGCUCAGGAUUUCGCUGGUAAUCAUCAUGUUUGCUUAUUGUUUGCUAUUAUAUUUGGUAAAACACAUCUUGAUUAAGAGAUUUGAUGUGUUCUCUAUUUACCUGUGCCUCUUAUUUUUACCUUUUGUCCAAGGAUAUGUUAGGAAGAUAUUUGUUUUUUUAGAAUUGAAAACAGGGUAUGGAAAUAGAAAUACUUCACUAUUGGCAUAAAACAGCACUGGAGUGUUUUCUUCUUAAUGUAGUAUUUAUUGUUUGAAAAGAAUUCUUAUUCUAUCGGUGUUUUUUUGUUGUUGUUUGUUUGUUUUUUUGAGAUGGAGUCUCGCUCUGUCGCCCAGGCUGGAAUGCAGUGGCACAAUCUCGGCUCACUGCAACCUCCAUCUCCCGGGUUCACGCCAUUCUUCUGCCUCAGCCCCUCCAGUAGCUGGGACUACAGGCGCCCGCCACCACGCCCGGCUAAUCUUUUGUAUUUUUAGUAGAGACGAGGUUUCACCGUGUUAGCCAGGGUGGUCUUGAUCUCCUGACCUCGUGAUCCGCCCACCUCAGCCUCCCAAAGUGCUGGGAUUACAGGCGUGAGCCACCGCACCCUGCCUAUUCUAUCGUUAUUGAUAUAAAAUGGGAUUCAUUAUAAUUUUUAUUGGCUCAAUUAUUCCUCAUCUGUGAACCACUCAUUUUCAUUCAUUCGUGCUUUUACUUGAGCACCUGCUAUUGCCUGGGCACAUUCAGAGACAAAUUAGAGAAUGGAGAAAAAACUGGAAAGACAAAAACAAUCUAUGAUCACUCAGUCAUCUUUCUGCCAAAAAAUAAUAUUCAAACAUAAAAACACGUAUUGGAAUGAUUAGACUUAUUAAAAUGUUUACUCAACAACUAAAAAGGAAGUGGAUGAAACAAUAUUUUGGUACCCUUAAUAUUUUCUGGUUAUCAGUUUAUUUCUGUGAAUUUCCUUAUUUUACUCUUGCAACAACUCUACAGUUCCUUAAAGCAACCUUAUACUUACACCUAUUUUGUGGAUGUGGAAAUUAAGACUUUAGAAUUGCUGAAGAUAUAGAAGAAACAAGAAGGUACUGGAAGAAAGAUGCAGAAAAGAAAGCUUCAGGGGUUCAAAUACAACAAUGCUCGUUUACUUAGCACCUUAAUUCCCGCACUUGCUUAUAGACAGAAAAUGCCUCCUUCCUUUCUUUUGAAAGCUGUGGCUCAAGAUGGCAGGACACCCCACAGAGUCCCAGUUUAGAUCUUGAAACAGGUAGAGUAAGAAUGGUUUUGGUUAGGUAGGUUUAACCUACCAACUGGAGGUUUAUUUGAAUUACAUCUAAAUAUUAUUUAUAGGAGCAAGUCUGCCAGUUAUUAAUAAUUUAUGAAAGUUGCUUAUUACCAGCUAUAAUGUAGGUUUUAUUGACCGAUAGAUUUAACUAUGGGAAGAAGUAGCAGAAAGAGAAAAGGAAGUGAAAAGGUGAUAUGGGAGUGUGGCUUAUUUUGAAAGAAUUCUAGUUUUGGCCAGGGUGUAUAAUGUAAGCUAGAAAAUAAUAAUACUGAGCACCAGGGAUGAGUGAAGAAUUCAUUUAUGUCUUUGGCUUAGUCCAGCGCUAUUUGACUUAAGACAGUGUGUAUGGUGUCCUGGAAAAGGUUUAUAAUUUAUAAAGCUUUGAAUUCUCAGGGAUAAGCCAUGAAUUACAGGGUGAUUUCAAAAGCUUUACAUUCUAAGAUAAGCCACUAUUAUGCUUUUUCCUCAUUAAAGACAGGAGCUUCUGUUUUUUAGCAAAACUGACCCAAAUGUCUUUUAAUAAGAAUUGUACUGGCAUGCAAAAAUUUAAACUAUAAAUACAGUCUGUUUUCAUUAUUCAGGGUACCCAAUUAUUAUAACAACUACUUUACAUUAUGAAAAUAAAAUUCAAGUCAGUAAUAAAAAAUACUUUUUCUCUUGAACAAACAGAGGAUCCAAUACAACUGUCAUAAAGUCUUUUUUUCACCUUGCCUUUAUAAAAAUAGCAUCUUUGACUUUCUAACAGCUGACAAUUUUCUCUUUCAUACACUGUCACUCCUAAACCAGCUUUCUAACUCUGAAUUCAGAUUUCUAUCAUCUGCUGACAAAUGACAAUUUCAGGUUAUUUCAUGGCGCUCCUAUUAGCCUGCCAAGGAUUUAGUUUUGAUAGGGUUGCUAUCUUUAUAAAGCAAGGUAUAUGCAAUUACAUAUUUCAACAUUUCCAAAGCAGGUACCUUAGGGUAUAACUCUAGGUAUAAUCUAGAGUGAAUGAGUUUAACCUCUGUGAUACUACUACCUAUUAACUCAAUGCAGUUGAGGCAAUGAUGCUAAUUAGACACACAAAAGCUGUGACGUUUCAGCUUAAAUACCUACUGGAUACAAGCUUAAUCUACCCCAUCCCCAACAAUUAUAAAGAAGAUAAUAAAAUUAAAGAACAUGUAUUAAAUGUUGAAAAAUAUAUAUUAGAUUAUUGCCUUUCAAGGGCUACACAGACAUGAGUAAUUUUUAAGGAACUCAAAUUCUGCAUUCUCAAGUUCCAUAUGUAUGCCUUUCUAAAAUGAUCUGCCUAAGAGCAGUUCUAUGGGGCUGCCUCUUUCUCACCUUUCUUUCACAUUAAUCUAUCUGCCACUUUACAAAAGAGAUGUACCUCUCACCCACUGGGAAUCUUACUAAGCGACACUGUCCCAGGAUGCAAAAACGUCUUGAUUGCCAAAGGAGCAAUUAGAAAUAUUUGUUUAUUAAAGACCUCCUUAUACAAGAGAGUACGUGAUUUUUCAAAAUUCUUUAUAACACUUAUUAUUUAACAAACAGUCAAACUUUUAACUUGUGUACCAGCUUUCAGGAAUAAAAGCCAGACUUAACACUCUCGUUAGAGUUCUGGUAAUGAAAAACCAGCCAGAUGCUUGCCCUAAUGUACUAUCAUGGUUUACUAAUGUUUUAUUUAUUUAUUUAAGAGUUGGGGAUCUUGGCCGGGCGCAGUGGCUCAUGCCUAUAAUCCCAGCACUUUGGGAGGCCAAAGCGGGUAGAUCACCUGAGGUUAGGAACUUGAGACCAGCCUGGCCAACAUGGUGAAACCCCAUCUCUACUAAAAAUACAACAAUUAGCCAGGCGUCGUGGCACAUACCUGUAGUCUCAGCUACUCGGGAGGCUGAGGCAGGAGAAUUACCUGGGAGGUGGAGGUUGCAGUGAGCUGAGAUUGUGCCACUGGACUCCAGCCAGGGUGUGACAGAGAGAGACUCCAUCUCAAAAAAAAAAAAAAAAAAAAAAAGAGUUGGGGUCUUGCUUAGGCUGCCCAGGCUGAUCUCGAACUCCUGGCCUCAAGAGAUCUUCCCACAUCAGCCUCCUGAUUAGCUGGGAUUACAGGUAUGAGGCACCAUGCCCAGCCAGUUUACUGAAGUUUUCGAAUAUGUAAAAAUUUUGGUCACUGUGUGUAUGUGUGUUUGUGUGAAUUCCUUUAUUCAAAACCAUGUAAAUAGGAGAUUAAGUACAGUUCGCUUUACCUGAAAAAUAUAUUACAUAUGAAUGCUUAGGUCAUAGAGAGUAAAAGGUAACUUUUAUUGAGUCUUUUCUUUUCAAAUGAAUGUAUAGAAAGUUGGCUUGCUAUAUUUACAGGAAUUCACCUUCUCCAUAUUUUAUCCCUUAAAAUGUCCACAUACAUGCAUAUAUUUGUCAUUGCUGACAUAGUUAUUGUUUGAUAAUACAUUCUCUGAAACACUGUUCUUUUCUGGACCAUUAAAGAGGAAACAAAAACAAAUGAUCACUGUUACUCUACACCAGUUUAAAUUGAGGGGUAAAAAUGUCUAAAAGUAAAAAUGUUUACAGUAACAUUUUUUACAAAUUACAAUGCAGGUUUUUUUUUUUUACACUAACUCAUUACAUAAUAACCCUGAAAGCACAAAAGUUAUUUUUAUCUCUAUUUUGUAAAUGAGAAAACUGAUGUGCUAGAGGAUAUCCACGUGGUCAUAAGCCAAACUAGGACUAAAAUUUAAGCUGUUGGACUCCGCACUCUGUGUCUUCUCACUCUAUUGAACCACCUCUUGUGAAAAUUGCUCAACUUGCUAAGGACUGUGUUCUCUAGGUAAGCGCCUGUAAAAUGCAGUUGAGGUGAUGACACCAUUCCAAAGGUGUGAAAUCUAUCUUAAUUUUGGUUAGGAAAGCAAUAUAUGUAUGAUUUAAAAUGAAAAGAGUUUUUUUCCCCAGAACUUCACAAAACGUAAUUCCCACGCCCUAAUAAGGAAACAUGGUGUUUAAAUAACCCUUCAAGUGCACCUCAAGGAAAUGAUCUGUGUCUUACUGGAUUUCAAAGAAGCAUUCAUGUCUAGGAAAAAGUAUUAAUAUAAAAAAGGACCUUGAUAAGUCACUUAGUCUGUUUCACUGGAUUUUGGCUGGGUACUGUGUUCUUAAAAGUUCUAACUCAAGAUGCCCAGAUGGUGAUGGGAUAUGAGGAGCUAAUGACAUGGAUGGAAGGACGUGGUUCCAGACAUGCUAGGUGUCUGGUUCCUAACAAGACACUGCAGAAUUUGAGAUUUUUGCUCUGGAAACAAAUUGGGACAAAUUUCAUGGUGUGGUUUGUGAAUGUUCUCAUCCUUCAGGCUUGUGCUGUAUACUGCCAUUGCCAAGUUGUAGCUAUUGUUUGCUUGAAAAGAAAGGAUGAGGAAGAAAGUAAUGACCAAAAAAGCCCUAAAAAAUAACAUACAUGAUCUCACAUUUAUGUAAAACACAUAUGGAAGAAUGUGUGUCGAAUGUUCACAUGUACUUUUAAAAUAUUUUUAAUUUAUAAAUUAUUUUUAGAACAGUUUUUACAGAAAGUUGAGCAGAGUUCCCAUAUACCAUCUCACCCUUUCCCAUAUGUUUUAUAAUAAACAAAAUUUUGUUAUAUCUCCUCUGAGUUAUUUGCUUCUUUUGAUGAAUUAAUUUGUCUGGAGAGUAUUACCAUGGAAAAAAGCUCCCUUCAUAUUAUCUUUAUGAAGAAUUCAAAGCCUCGUACUGAUCAGUGAUUUUCAGAUGACAGUGUGCAAAACAAUCACCUGGAGGGUUGUUAAAAAUACAGGACUGAUUUUUUAAGUCUGAGCCAGAGACAAAGAAACUGCAUUUUUAACAUAGCACCCAGGUGAUUCCGAUGCACUAAGCAUAUGAACUAUACUUUGAGAAACAAUAGGCUAGAAAUUCUUAUCCCUGGAUGGAAAAUCUCUAUUAGACCACCUGAACCCAUACAUAGGUCUGCUGUUCCUUAAAAUUAAAAAAAAAAAAAAAAAGACUCAGUAGUCCUUUUCAAAUCCUGUCAAAUGUUGUCAGCAUGGAAAACAAUUUCAGUGUCUGAGCUAAUUCAUCAACCAAUGAACACGAUAAAUUGAGUAAGAAUUAGAAGUGAAACUUUUAAAAACCUCAUACACCAUUCACUUGCCUAGAAGCCAAUGAGGCAAAAUUGUUAUAUCAAAGCAUCCUAAUAGAUAUGAUAUUAUCAAUACAUUUUAUACUAUAUACACUUUUUUGUUGUACAUGUUUUUAACAAACUCUAUUUUUAUUGAAAUUAUUAGGCCAUCAAGACAUAAACUCAAACAGGAUUUAUGUAAAUGUAUAUUUAAGAAGGGGAAUCUGAAUUAUUUAGGGUCUAAUCUAUUAUUAAAUGACCUAAUGGAUAGUCACAGGUGUUUUGGACCCCAGUCCAAGGGUUGGAGAUGAGCUUUAAGACCCUUACUAGUCAAAGUGUGGUUCCGGGACCAGCAACAUGAGCAAUGUAGGAACUAGUUAGAAAUGCAGAUACUCAGGCCCCACCAGACAUACUGAAAAAAAAAAUCUGCAUUUUUUAACAUAAUACCCAAAUGACUUAGCUGCACAUAAAAAAUAAAGAAAACUUUCUUUCCAGUGUUUCAGUCCUGAUCCUUUCUAAAUUUUCCUGGCUGUGGACUAAUUCCCAGUACUAUUCCCCAUUUCUCCCAUAUAUCCACACCCCAUUAUUUUUAUUUCAGAUGGUCAUCUCUCGCUUCUUGCUCUUAUCUCCAAAGGGAAAACCACACAGACUCUAACUAGGAACUCACAGGCUUCAUUCACAAGUUUUCCUCUUUUAACCAAAGAAAACGUAGCGAGCUGAUCAAUAUCUUUAAAUAAUCUGCUAGCAGACCUGAGCACAUCCAGUUUAUUUAAAGCUGCAAGUGAAUAAAAUAUAGCUAGUAUAAGGGUAUUCACACCAUUAACUGUCCUCCCUCCUUGCUUCAAAGCCUUGCUUUGCUCUCUCUAGGACUGUGCCUCAGUAAAAAGUAGUCAGUCCCUUCAGAAUUUAAAAAAAAAAAAAAUCACUUUUCCUGUGUAAAAAGAACAAUGCUAUUACAAAAAAAAUGGUGCCACAGACUCUCACAAUUUGUGUUUCAAAAAGCCACUGCUGCUGCUAAAUCACCACUACUGUCCUGGAACCAUUAUGAACAUGCUAAUCUAUGCCCAAAGCAAUAUUAGUAUUAUUGUUUAUUUUAUUUUCAUUAUAGCCCAAACCAGAUAGGCUGCUAUAAUUCUGCUUUCUCCUGGUACGAGACUGGGAAAGAAGAUAUAAUGAUAACAAAGAAAUGCAGCCAAUUGUUUUAGUAAAUAACACUGCAGAAGUCAUAUAUCAUUUCCCAUUUUCCAAUUGCUCCAACUCCUAUCAAGUUACUAGAGACAGCAAGUCAAUGUGCCUGGUGCUGGAGAAAAAUCAUUCAGGUAAGCUGAGGCUACUCCUUCUGUUUCUCCAUCUGCUAAGCUGUUAACACAAAGACAUAUUGACAAAAGCUCAAGGAAAACAUGGAAUACUUCAUCAGUAAGAUUAUGCUGCCCUAGAGACAGAUGUUAGAAAGCUGUAAUAUUUAAAAAUAAAGAGAUAAACACAUGGUUGAGAGGAAAGAAUAAAAUAAUUUAGCGUUGAGAUAGAAUAUUAAAAAGAAAAAAGGAAAAGAUGGAAAGAUAGAUUUUAUCAUACUGUAUUGGCACAAGAAAUGGCAAAUCCUUUCAUGUAGGGAAAAACUUUUAUAUCUGCCUCAGGCAAUCAUUUACCAUUAGGUAGACAUUCUUAGAGUGCACUAGGGUAGAUCUGUAAGAACUGCUUAGCAGGGCUAAUUACGAUUACACAGAAAAGACUUACCUCUUGUCACCAGAUAAAGUCCAGGCUUUGACUUAAAUCCAUACACACCAGUUUUCAUAAAAGUUUAAACAUGAAAAAUGUUAUAUACUUUGGUAAUUCACAUUCAGUGAACAUAAAAACAACAUUAAGUAAUGAUAACUGGAUUUAUCUGGUAACUUUUACUGCAGAGGUCAAGGUACUUUGUCUUCACUUAUUUUUACUAGAGAAAAAUAAUAAAAAUAGAUUAUAAUUGUAGGUUAUAUAUUUACAAUUGACAUACAGUAGCCAUGUAUUAAGCAAACACAUUUUUAAACAGCAGAUUCUCCAUUUUUGCUAAAAUUUUAACACAUUUAUAAAUAAAAUGCAAAGAGUAGGAACAGAAAAGUAGAAGGAACUUUGGCUUUGAAUUCAAACAGAAUUGGGUUCAGAUCCAGGAUAUUUAAUUCACUUCUCUGAGCUUCAGUUUCCUCAUCUGUAAAACAGGGAUAAUACUACCUACUUUACAGGGUUGCUGAGAGGGUUAAAUAUAUAACUAAUGAAGGCCCCAGCAUUGUGUGUGAACACAGCAGGUACUCAAUAAAUGCCAAGUGACAUAAUCACAAAAAAACUAACACAAACAAGCACAUUAGAGAUUCCAAUUUAAUUACCGUUUGUCCUUUUCUUAAAAUCUCCAAGUUCUGAUUGUACAGUAGAAGCUCCUAACUUAACACCUUUUCCCACUGGGAAGGUGAUGCCCUCCUCCUCAAAAAAAAGGGAUGGGGGAAUAGUAUAAAGGAGGAGUUACCAGAGAAAGGAAAAGGAAACCGAAUACUUCUUCCAGGAAAGAGGAGGAAGAGGGCAUGAGGUCUGACUUCAUGGUCCUGACUACUUCACUUCCUCAAGGAUGAAAACUCAGGUAAAUAAUGGUUAAAAAACAAAAACAAAAACUGAAAGCUGGAAAUCUUUAAGAGUUUGCCCUGCUUCCUGUUCAUCAUUCUAAAAGGAGAAAAACUUGUAGGAUAACCACACCCAACAGAGGACUACUACAAACAGAAUAAAAUGGCAGCGUAGUGUGAGUAGGCCAAGAAAGGUUCUGUAAUGGCAGGUCUCAAAGUUCCUUGGCUGUUGUGCAGUGGCUCUUGUGUCCAGGUAUUCCUUCAUGAUCCCAGCAGGAUAUGUGAAAGGUGGUUGUUUAUAGAGUUAAGAGUGAGAAGCCAUUCUGGUCACUGUGAGAUGAUCCCCACAGCAGAUGCUGCAGAGCAGACAGACUAAGCCAGGGUUCACAGAGUAGAUGUGGUUGAGACAUGAGGACCUGAAAUGCUGUUGAAAAAUGAGAAGAAAACAAAUGAGAAAGGGAGAGCUAUAAGCUCUGACAGCUCUGAAAGAAUACUGGUUUAGUUAAUGAUAGACUGGAACAGCAGAUAAAGAAACCCAGUAACUAGUUUGGACUAGAUAUAUCUCCAUGGAAGUCAGUGAGAAUUCAGAUGACUGCACAAAGACCACACACAGAUCUGGGGCUCUCUCCCCUCCCUGCCAUAAGAACACAUGAACCUUUCCUGACAUCUAAAGGACAUUUCUGCCAGGAGAAAGGGACAGAAAGAACACCAAAAAACUGGGAUUUACCCCCAAAGAACCUAUUUUAAAACUAAAGAAACUGAGAUCAUUUUGCUUGUCAUCUUUAAAUUGUAUCUCAUCCUACUCCACUCAAAAGAAAAUUUAUUCCAAAUCUAAAGAAAUGAAAGGCCUUUUUAGCUCUUGAUAAGUUAGAUGCAAUGUGUCCAACUCUAUAAGUCAUAUUUUCUUUCUGUGAGGCCUGGACAGGAAACCAAAAUAACCAUAAUGUUUCUUUAUUCACAAAUUAAAGUGCCCUAAUUACAUCAGGUAAGAGGAAGUAGGUAAUUAUAUCAGGUAAGAGGAAUCAUACAUACAUUAUUUUUCUCUCCUUUAAAAAAAUUUAUUAUAUGGGUAAUUUGAGAGGUCCAUUCAUUCAUUCAUUCAAUAAAUAUUUACUCAGUACCUUCUCAUCUAUCAUAUGCACACAGAAGUAAAUAAGAUUGAGGCUGACUAUUAUGCACAGAGCAGUUAAAAAGCAUUUUUGUACAAAAUCAUUGUUAUAGAAAAUUCUGUUGCCAGAAUAACAAGUGAAGCCAGUUGUAAGAGGUAAUAUUAUGUAAAAUCUUAUUUUUUAAAGUAUAUUUGCUAUAACAAAAGAGACACAAGAUACGGAGGAACAGGUCAGAAAGACUAUCAUCAUUGCCUUUUUCAUUUUUGCAUGAACAGGCAUGCAAAAGAAGUUAUAUAGCUGUUUUAGUUAUCUCAGUAAAUACUGCUUGAAAAUUUUAAGAAAUUAAACUGAAAAAGUCAAAUAACACUGUAAUAAAGGCUAUAGGAUAGUUUGUUGUUUAAGAGUAUAGGUAUUUUUCAUAAAGAUUCCCUUUAAAAUGUUAGUAUUAUAGUCCUUUUUUUGAGACAGGGUCUUGCUCUGUCACCCAGACUGGAGCACAGUGGUACAAUCAUGGCUCACAAGAGCCUCAAACUCCUGGGCACAAGUGAUCCUCCAGCCUCAGCCUCCUGAGUAGCUAGGACUACAAGCACGCACCAGUAUACACCACCACGCUGGCUAAUGUUUUUCAGUUUUUGUAGAGACUAGGGUCUUGCUAUGUUUUCAAGGCUGGUCUUGAACUCCUGGCCUCAUGCAAAGCUCCCACCUUGGCCUCCUAAAGUGCUGGGAUUACAGGCAUGAGCCGCUGUGCCCACCCCAAGCCCUUAAUGUCUUAGCUUAUUAAGUUCAAAGUUUUACAUUAUCAGGUUUUCUUAAAGGUGGGCUAUGGAAGCCUGACAAAUACAUGCUGUUUGUCUAUAUGGUGUUAUAAACAUGAAACAGAAUACUAUGGCUUUACUUUAAAAAAAAAUCCUAUAAUUUUCCAAAGAUAUUUAUCUAUAGAAAUGGCAUUGUAGAAUAUUUUCAGAAAGGCUUUUAUGGUGGCUCUUUGAAUCAUUGCCCAUUCAAAGAAUUUUAAAUAUUCUAUCUAACCUCCUGUACCAUAAAGCCCAUUGGAUUUCAUAUACUAGAGCACAGAGUACAAAAUUUAGGAAAAACCUCUGCUUUUAUCAGUUACUUCUGACAAAGUUGGUAUUUCAGUCAUCCUACAUGUACAUCAUACACUGAUUGAAAGGUGACAUUGUUAGAGAUUAUAAAUAAUUCAACAAAUGGCAUCUAUCUGAUUAGUAUUUCAAAACAAUAUUUUAUCUCUUCCCAACCCCCUCUUUAUCUUCAUAGAGUGCAGUUGCAUUUGAAAUCUAUGGUUUCUGGCAUAUCUGGGGUAAGGUUAUACUACGAAUUUACCAGACCUGUCAGUCUGUAGGUUUCUUCCAUAUUUCAUUAUAUCAUUCCAGUUAUAAUUAGUUGUCUGGUAAAAUUAAGAACAGUCUAUUUCAGUGACUGCUCAUGUGAACAUUUAACAACUUUUUGUUAGAAUGACAGUUUAGCGACACAAAGAAUAAACCAGAAAGGGAGAGUCACUGAAGUAACCUUACUUAACUCAAUGUUGCCAGCUCAAUUGAAAACACUAAGAUUUUGCAUUUUUUUCAUUUUUGUUAUUAAUAAUCAAGCACAUAUUUCUUGUCAAGAGAUAAGCAGCAGUUUGAUGACAUUCCUGCCGUCAACCAGCAUGUUUUGAACUGACCUGUCUUCAUUGCUAUGGCUCCCAAGAAACUCUGCCGUUGACGAGCGUUGAUUCAGCUGAAUGCUUUGACAUUUAGCUUGUCAGUGAAAGCUAUUUUAAUCAUUAAGAUGCAUUUCCCGUCCAAGAUUGCAAACUGUUGCUGCUCAUACACAACAUUCUAUCAUUUGAUUACCGUGGAGAAGAAGAGAACCUGAAAAGUUACUCUUACUAUCGAUUAUAUUAAGAGCUAAAAUUUAUUGAUUAUUUUACUGUGUGUGAGGAGUUGUGCUUAGCAAUUUGCAUAGAUUGACUCAUUUAAUCUUCUCAAUCAUGGAGUCUGACCACCUGAGUUUGCAUCCUUGUUUUCCACUAUCUGUAUAACAUGCAGCCCUCCCUGUGACAUGAUUUCCUCAACCACAAAAUGAAGUAAUAGUACCUACCUCACAGGCUUAUUAUGAGGAAUAAAUGAAACACAUCAUUAACAGUGCUUAGAAUUAAUACCUGCAAAACAGUGUGUUUUCAUAGUGUGAAGAGCAAUUUUUAUUACCAUUUUUUAGAUGAAAUCAACCAGUUCUUCACCAACUGUCCUGCUCAACAUCACUUCUAACUCUGUCUCUGUUCCCAAAUCCAAAAGUACAGAUAGGGAAAAUGAAAAAUAUUUUUUUAGGACAUUUUUUCUAUAGGUAUUUGAACUCCAGCUCCACAGGAGGGAGCACCACAAUUGUAGAAGGAUAGUACUUUUGCAGUAUGAGCCUUUUAAAUGUUUUUCCUGUUCUUUCUUUCUUCACUGUAGCCUUUCUCCAUUCAGGGAGCUAGACCUAUGUGCUGGUGAAUCCCUAUUAAAUGGGAUGGAAGUGAAGAUUUAGACAGUUUUGGGGACUUCAGAGGAGAGGGGUCAUUUGUCCCAGGUUUAAUUAGUGGCAUAAUGGCAGCAAGAUAACAGAAUCCCAUAGUUUUCCAUGCCCAAGUUUGUGAAGCAGCAGAAUAAAUAUAUGUCAGGUGUUUAUGUAGACAACCUCAGACAGCCUAACAGAGUUCCCUGGGCCAUGCCAUGGAGUGAGAGCAGCUGUAUGAUCCCAUUGCUUCUAACUGGGCAUGGAAGCAAAACUUCUCAAAGUCCAGAGCACCACUAGGAUGUUUCCUAUUGUGGCAGAAACUAUGCUGUGUUGUUGCUGAACUCCUUCCUUUCUUUCCUGAGCACAAAGCUAAACUAAAUAUCAUAGCCUCCCCUGCAGUUAGUUGGGUAAGACUUGACUUUUAAAACCUUUAUGAACCACUAUAUACAUUCUUUUCUCUCAUCUGCUAGUUGAAUGUAUAUGAACCAGUUGAAGGUCUUAUGAUUCUAGAAAAAAGACAAGAGUCAUUGAAUUAGGAGUUCUUAACCUGGGAUCUAUUUAAUAAAAUGUAGGAGAACCAUGACCUUGGAUUUGGAACAAAAACAAUUCUGUAUUUUCAUCAACCUCUAACUGAAAUCUGGCAAUUCUUUAAAUUAUGAACAUAGGAAUCAAUGCACAGUAGUAUUAGCAAUACUUGAGACUCUGUCACCAAUAAAACUCAUAGGUAUUUUCAUAUCACAUUAUAGAUACUUAAGGUAUCUUAAAUAUCAUUUAUACUAAAAUUUACUUUGAAAUAGUAAUUAUUAGGCUAUUCAAUAUGCUAACACAAAGCACAUAUAUUACAACAAAAAUAUUUUUAAAAUAGUUUGAUAACUAUAUCAAUGAAAUUGUUUUCCUUUGUAAUCUGGUAUAAUUUUUACAUCUUUUAAAAAUUUUUCUGCUUCACCAGAUUGCCAAAAGGAGCUACAGAAAAUUAAGAAUCCCUGUCUAAAUGAUCCCUGAAUGAUACCAUGGAGUAGGGUCCAUCUUUUCCCCUCUACUCCACAUCACCACCACACUGAUGACCCACAUUGUACUAUGAUGUGAGAAAUAAGAUUUUACUGGGUUAAGUUACUGAGAUUUGGAAGUUAAUUUUUAGAGCAGUUAGCCUGUGCAGACUAAUACUCAUAUACCCUUGCUACCAAAAUGGUAAGAGACCUCCGGUUGGAAAAGACCCAGAAGUGAAUCCUGAGGAUCAAAGAUUGGAUGGGGCCAUUGAAUAUGUCUCAGCAGAUAACAACUCAGAAAGACGGUGAAGCUCAGUCUAGGAAACAUUUCCUUCAACUUAGAAAUAAAGUUCAAUUACAGUAUCAUAAAGAAACAGUUCAAUUAUUCUUGAAUUUGUAUGCUGAAAUUUAUAACUGUGACACAACAAUGAAUUUUCUUAUUUAUUAUUUCUCUCUUCUUUUACUACAGUGGCAGUUAUUUUGUUUCUCAUAGCAGAUAUUAAGUGCUUUUGAAUUCAUCAGUUUUAUAGGUGUAUGUGUGUGUGUGUAUAUAUAUAUAUAUGGUUUUAAAACAACCUCUGAUUAGCUCUGUUCUCAGCUAGAGUUUAACACUGAAGAGAAGCAAAUAACUACAAAGAUGAGAUCAAUACUGUGUAAGUCCUUCUACGAAGGAAUUUGAAAGUUGAAAUUUUUUUUAAAAGGUUUGUGCAUUCAAAGAGUCUUGAGAGAGCCCUCCAGGGUUUUCAAGACAGGUGUAAAUUUGACAACGCUUUCUCAAGGCAUCAAGUUUUGUUUAAUUUCAUCUUUGCUUUUAGACUGUUCUGCCGGCUUUAUUUUUUAGAAAAAAUGAAUCAGUCACUGUGAAACUUUCAGGUUAUUAAAAGUCAGAUGCAAAAUCUCCUCUGAGGACAGAUUCUUUCUAACCACCAAAGACUUACUGUAUCUAAAUUUUUAUAACAUACUGAACUGUAACUGAAUGAAAAUAAAAUGGGAUUAGUGUGUUAUAGCUUCGGUUUUGGCAUUAAAAUGCAAAAAAAAAGUCCAUUUAUUCUUAAAUGCUAUAUAAUAUAAACAUCAGUCUGUCUUGAUCACUGCUGUAUACUCAGCUCCAAGCCUAAUGCCUGACAAAUAUUUUUAUGAAUGAGUAGACUAAUCAAAUAGCACUUACUGAAAUUAUAUACAGAAUACACUAUUUAUGACUAGACUUUGCCAUGAGAAGUUGCUGCCUUUCAUACAUGUAAGGGUAAGGUGACUAGAUUAAGAUGUUAAAGCCUGUAAACUGCCAGUAGCUCACUGACCCUUGAAAUUCCUAAAGCGAUACAAAGUCCUUUGAUGGAAGAAAUACUGUGGUAUAUUAUUACAAUUAAGUUGUUUCUAACAUACCAAUCCUUUAAAACUUAGUUUCAGUGGUUUCUUAGUAUUAGCAUAAGUGUGUAUUAAGAAGUACAAGAGCUGGGCGCGGUGGCUCACGCCUGUAAUCGCAGCACUUUGGGGGGCUGAGGCAGGCAGAUCACAAGGUCAGGAGUUCGAGACCAGCCUGGCCAAUAUGCUGAAACUCUGUCUCUACUAAAAAUACAAAAAUUAGGCCAGGCACGGUGGCUCAUGCCUGUAACCCCAGCACUUUGGGAGGCCGAGGCGGACGCAUCACGAGGUCAGGAGAUCGAGAACACCCUGGCUAACACAGUGAAACCCCGUCUCUACUAAAAAUACAAAAAAAUUAGCCAGGCGUGGUGGCGGGCGCCUGUAGUCCCAGCUACUCGGGAGGCUGAGGCAGGGGAAUGGCGUGAACCUGGGAGGCGGAGCUUGCAGUGAGCCAAGACAGUGCCACUGCACUCCAGCUUCGGCGACAGAGCUAGACUCCGUCUCAAAAAAAGAAAAAAGUACAGAAAUUGUUUUGGCUCUUUAACUUUUCAUGCUAAUUUUCACACAUUCGAAAGAGUAAAUGGCAUAAGGAACCCCCUAAGUACCCAUUUCCCAACCCAACAAUUAUCAUUGCCAUUCUUAUUUCAUUUUCCCUCUUUCAAUCUUUUUCUUCUUUUUUUGCUGGAUUAUUUUAAAGGAAAUCCUAGGCAUCCUAUUAUUUCAGCUAUAAUUAUUUCUGUAUGUAUCUUUAACAGAUAAGGACUUUCUAAACAUAAUACAAUACCAUUUAGCUCCUCUAAUAAAAUUAUUAAUAAUUCCUUAAUAUAGUCCCUGUUCAAAUUUUGCCUGAUUAUCUCAAAAAUGUCUUAUACAUGGUUUGUUUGAAUCAGUAUCCAAACAAUGUCCAUAACAGUUGAGUUUAAUGUAUCUGUAAAGUUUAACAGAAAAUGCUUCAUCUUUUUUUUUGUGUGUGCCAUUUAUUUGUUGAAGAAACCAGGUCAUUUGUUUUGUAAAAACCUCUCAUUCUGGAUUUGGCUGUUUGCAUCAUGGUAUAGUUUAACAAGUCCCUCUAUUUUCUGUAAAAUGGUAGUCAGAUCUCAUAAUUUUCUUUUGGAAAGAAUAUUUCAUAGGUAGUACUGUGCACUUCCUGUUGCAUAAGGAGACACAUAUUUGUCUCCACGUUUAGUGAAGACUGACUACACUGACUUCAAGUGUUGUCAGUCUGAUCCAUCAUUACAAAGUGCUCCAACUUUUACCUAAUGCUAUUAGCCAUUGAUGACUCUUGGCUGGGUCCAUUAUUUCAUCAAGAGUUGGAAAAUGAUGAUUUUAUAUUUCUAUCAUUAUUACUAACUGGAAUUCCAUAAAGAAAAAAAUGCCUUUCAUCAACUACGUGGUUACCCUGAAAUACAACUCAUGCCCAAAAAGCAGGAUAAAUGCUUGUUUCUUCAUUGAAAUUAAUCUACUUUCAGCAUGAGCUGGUAUCCUAUUUAACUUCCAAUAGCGUAUAAUGAGUCUCCCUCAACUCACUCUAACUUCUCCCUAAGGUCACCAGGUGGUUUUUACCGUAAAAUCUCGUAGGGCCAGAAUGGGGUAAGACAGGAUGGAAUUGGGCAGGCCAAGGCAGGAUACAGGGAUUUAGGAGAAGGGGGUACUGGGUCAGGGAAGACAGAAUACCUUAAGCAUGCUCUAGGAGGUGGAAUCCGAGCUUUCUGAGCUGUCCUGGACGUUGGUGCUCUCCACAGACUCCUUAGGUUCUUUGCUGUCACUGCCACUUUCUUCGGUAGCCGGGUUCUUUUGCUGACAGGCCUCUUCAGAAUCAGAAAGUGUGCUGCCCUGGGUCUCCUGGUUCUCCCUGGAGCCCAGGACCACAUACCCGCCCUUCUUCAGGUCCGUUUGUCGUCUCAGCUCAUCUGCCAUCUGCGAGAGAUCCCGCUUCAUAGCAUAAGCAUCUUCCCCAUCUGCAUAGUAUUUAGGUUCCACCUCACUAAUCUGAAAGUUGAGGGUGUUAGAAUAAAGGUGCAAGGCUGCCCGGUUACUCUUCCUGACGUGCAGAGACACGUAUUUGGCGUUAAAGUUCUCUAUCAUGGCCCUGGAGGCCUGGUCCAUCAGCUUCUGGGCCAGGCCGAGGCGCCGGUGUGAACGCUUCACGGCCAGCGAGGUGAUAUGGCCAUGCGGGACAUCAUCUGGUUCCUCCUCCAUUUUGGCCAGAACAUAGCCCACAAUCUUCCCGUCCUCAUCCUCAGCGAUGUAAGAAAGCUGGGGCCAGGAAAGGCCAUGAUAUAAAUAGUAUUUCAUCUGGUAGUUCUCAGGAAGGCAAAGGAGGUUGCAGUGUUGCAUAUUCAUCAGGUCGUCUGGCCGAGCGUUGCGGAUGUUCAUAAUGGCGGAGCGUAGGGAACCGGUUGGACUGCAGUGAAUCCAGAAGAGGCUGUCGCCGACCUUAAGGGGCACUGUUUGCCUCAGGAAUCGAGUCCAGGGGGCUAACACCACCGGGCUGAAUCGUGUGGAGGCCGGAUGGCGGGAAGGCGGAAGGAGCAGGAGAUGGAAAAGAUGGUGCCAAACUGCGGCUUUCAGAAGUGCGUCACUGAUCCCAGCCAAUGAGGUUUCGCUUCAUUGUGCGUGUGCGUGCGCAGGGGUUAGGGGGUGGGGAGAGAGGAGUUCAUUGUGGUCGCCUUUGUUUUAAAUAAAGUGAUCCAUUGCAAUUAUUA